rnacentral:ncRNA from 1 species
AGGAGCCGUGUGAAGGGAAACUUUCACGCACGGUUCUGAAAGGGAGGAGAUAGAGGUGACUCUAUUUUCGACCCCUAA